rnacentral:rRNA from 1 species
UACAGAGGUGGCAAGCGUUGUUCGGAUUUACUGGGCGUAAAGGGUGCGUAGGUGGUCGCUUAUGUCGGAUGUGAAAUCCCAAGGCUCAACCUUGGAAUGGCAUUCGAAACUGGGCGGCUGGAGUGCAGGAUGGGAGAGCGGAAUUCUUGGUGUAGCGGUGAAAUGCGUUGAUAUCAAGAAGAACACCGGUGGCGAAGGCGGCUCUCUGGAAUGCAACUGACACUGAGGCACGAAAGCUGGGGGAGCAAACAGG